CGAGCCUCAAGGACACGUGUACCGAUCCCCCCUUCAACGGCGCUGCAUCACUUCUUCUCCGGAGGGCACAGCUGAGACCCACCAACCGUCGCUAACCUCGGAACCAAACCAACUGCUAUCUCACUUCCAAACUCGAGAGAGACUGGAACCGCGUCACCCAUAAUCUUCGAUUAGCUUCAGACCACUGGAGAGCUUCGUCGGGACACACCCGAGAUCUCAACCCGAGGCUUCGCGGUCUCCAUCUUCAUCCACAUCGCUUCAUUGAAGGACUCAAGAUCUCAUCCAGAUCCGAAACAAACCCCACAACCACACCAACACUUGGACCAUCACCGGAGUAUAAGGAGCCUCCGCCUAAAAAGAACCCUAGAGCCGACCGUUCCCCUUUGAAGGAUAGGGGCAAUGACGGAACGCCUAUGCCGACCGCCCACCGAGAAGAAAGGUACGACGACGGAACCUAAAGAUCUACCCUAAAACCAAACGAAAGGAAGCUUUCAACAUGCUGUUAACAAAGGAGACCGGACCGACGGACGGUGACUAUGAAAGCUCACUCCGUCGGCCGGAUAGAUUUAACUGUUACGGAGGUGGCGUGAUUGUAAGCUACGAGCUUUUGAUAACGCAAAGCACCGGACUUAUGUCGAUUUGAAGGACAAAUGGAAGACGUUGGUGCACACAACAAGAAUAUCGCCGCAACAAAGGAGAGGUGAGCCAGUUCCGCAGGAGCUCUUAGACCGUGUACUGAUGGCUCAUGCCUACUGGUCCCAGCAACAGGGGAAACAACAGUUGCUAGAGGGACCUCAGAAGCUCGAGACCAGUCUUGGUCUAUAGACUGGGAACAAAAUGUUAUCCCCGCGGCGUGAAAAUGAACGUUAGCGGGAUGAACCUGAUAUCUUUUUUUCUUUCAUAUAUACUUUUUUUUGUUUAUUUGUUAUGUUAUGUAUUUGAAAAUAUUCAUUGUGUAAGGAGAAAAAAGGAAUGGAAUGUGGUGAAGAAGAGGAUAGAGAUGAAGAUAGGUGAAGUCUAAUGUAAUUUUCACAGUGCUUGGUUAUAAUAACA